rnacentral:pre_miRNA from 1 species
UGCUGCAGCUGGUGUUGUGAAUCAGGCCGACGACAAGAGCAUCCUACUAUCCGGCUAUUUCACUACACCAGGGUUGCA